rnacentral:misc_RNA from 1 species
GCAAGUAAGCAAAUUAGAACAAUUUAGCAAGCAAGUUUCUGAUGAGGAUUCCUUUAUUCAUCGCCAUACUUUUUGUUCUUAGUGUUCCAUUUCCAUCUUCAGCUCAUUUCUUCCCAAAUAUUUCUUCAAUUCCUCCUAAUUUAUUGAAACCAAAUGCCACUGCCUGGGAUGCUUUUAACAAGUUAUUAGGAUGCCAUUCCGGUCAGACGGUCGACGGCUUAGCGAAAAUCAAAAAAUAUUUUCACUACUUUGGAUACAUUAAUAAUUCUUCCACUAACUUCACUGAUGAUUUUGAUGAUACUCUUGAAUCUGCU